rnacentral:rRNA from 1 species
ACGAACGCUGGCGGCGUGCCUCAUCCCUGCCAGUCGCGCGGACUGAAUGGGAGCUUGCUCUUGUUCGGUCAGCGGCGGACGGGUGAGUAACACGUGGGCAACCUGCCCGCAAGACCGGGAUAACUCCGGGAAACCGGAGCUAAUACCGGAUAACACCGAAGACCGCAUGGUCUUUGGUUGAAAGGCGGCGCAAGCUGCCACUUGCGGAUGGGCCCGCGGCGCAUUAGCUAGUUGGUGAGGUAACGGCUCACCAAGGCGACGAUGCGUAGCCGGCCUGAGAGGGUGACCGGCCACACUGGGACUGAGACACGGCCCAGACUCCUACGGGAGGCAGCAGUAGGGAAUCUUCCGCAAUGGGCGAAAGCCUGACGGAGCGACGCCGCGUGAGCGAAGAAGGCCUUCGGGUCGUAAAGCUCUGUUGUGAGGGACGAAGGAGCGCCGUUUGAAGAAGGCGGCGCGGUGACGGUACCUCACGAGGAAGCCCCGGCUAACUACGUG